UCUUUUUUUUUUUUUUUUUUUGUCUAAUUGGCUCCGACUGGGACUCCACCUCGAGAUUUCACAGCCCUAGAGAUAACUCCAGUACCACUAAGCUGAAGCUCAUUGAUAUUAUUAGCAAUAAAUUUCAAUUUAUUAAAAAAUUAUGCGUGUCUUUUGCCCAUCUUUACUAUUUAUUUCACAAGUAGCACCUGUACACUGGACCACAACUAUAACACCCAAAGAAUAUCACAAACAACACAAGCCCACCUCGUACCCAUCAUGAUGAGUUAUAGACAGUGGCAAAGGCAAGAAGCUUGGUCAAUGGGAGCAAAUAUACGAGUCUAGUUUAUCAAUAACAGGUAUAUGUACAUCAAUAAUAGCAAAGCCACUUUUCAAUAUAGAUUAAUCAAUUGAGCAAUAGAAAGGCAUAAUACAAAAAAGAUAAACUGGAUUUGCACCCCCAGCUUUUACAAUUAUCCAUAGCUAGUGAAUUUCUUUGAUCAUUAACUUAUUCAUAAUAGGUUCGAAGAAAUAUUUUGAUUAAACUUACUUAAAUAUAGUAAAGGAAAUUUCUUGCCCACACAAAGGUAUAUGGCCCCAUUUCAUAUAACCAAUAAAGAAUUACCUUAAGAAAAAAUUAGGUGGGACCUAGCAUAAUUUUAGGUAUCAAAAUGUUUUCAUCUUAUCAUUCAUGGAUUGGGUGGGUAUAUAUUCACCCGAGUGUAGAGAAGAAUAACUUUACAUUAAAUCCAUCAUAAUCAUAUGAAAAUAAACAAAUAAAACAAAUUUAUACUUUUUCUAUGCAUUACAUAUUAUAUUCUGAUCCUCAGGACAAACAAAUCAUCAAUCAAUUAAAAAUAUAAAUUUAGAAACAAAAAAUAAUCAAAUUAAGUUUCCAAUUUUGGUACUUACAUGGUCAAUUGUUUCUUUGUUCCACCCAAAUUGUUAUAAGACAUUAUUACGUCAGUGAAAUUUCAUAGGUUUAUAGAGAUAACAACAAAUAAAACAUUGUCAUAUCAGAUAGGUUAAAUGAGGAGAUUAAAAGAAGUGGGAUGAUGAUAAUUUUUUUCAGGUUCUUUAUUUUUGCUUUAUACAUAAAUUAAGAGCCUCAGCUAAUGGCAAUAAUACCAAGCUGCAAAUUGAUUAAAAAGAACUGAGCCACAAUAUUUUCCAACAAAUUAAAAGUACUCAUUUCAUUGGAAGGAAAAAAAAUCAAUUACAAGAGAAAAUAAAAACAUUAAAAUAGUUAUUUUUAAAGGAUUAAAGAAAAGCUUCAACUUUGUUUUAUUAAUCUGUCUUAGGUCUCUUAUUCAAACCAAAAGCGUUAAUCUGUUAACUUUUCAUUUUAUUUUAAUUUCUAUUCUUAGAUGUCCUUAAUGCACAAAUUUUAUAUAUUAUCUGGUGCAUUAAGUUUUCAAUGGUUGAUCUAAGUUUAACUGAUUUGAAUAGUUAAGUCAGAAUUCUAGAGGGGGCAAGGAAAACAUUUUUACUUAUUUAGAAAGGAUCUCAAAGGUUUUCGAAAUUCUACUGAAGGUGGCCCCGCUGGAUUUGUGCUAUCUCCACCCCUAAAUUUAGACCCCACACAGGGGUUUACUCUAGGUUAAGUCAUUAUAUCAAAACAAAAUAGAACAAACUCCCAAAAGCUUCUAGAGAAAGGUAUGAAGAAAGAAAAUGACAACAAGAGGCUAAUAAGCAAAUCUACCAAACAAGAAGGCAGACAAUCUCAAUAUUUACAUUCUUAGAAGAGACAUAUCUGCUUUGACAAGAUUUGUCCGACAAUUUAUCGUACUACCCGAGGAUAUCCAAUUAGCAAGGUAAAAAGGCAAAAAAGAACCAUUACAUGCAUCUAAAUUGUUGCAAAUUUCCAUGGUCCAAAACAAAAUAUUCCAAUAAUAGGUAAAUAACGAGGUAAUCAACACCAUAAAUUUGCUUUAAAUUAUGAUGGAAUAGAAUGGCUAAAGCCUAAAAACCUCCCGCAUCAGAAGAGUCUCAUGGAAAGAUAACUCUCUACGGUAAAGAACCAUCAGCAUUCGGAAUGCAAAAUGGAGGCUUUCAGCACCUAUAUGUGACAAGUGUGCAAACAUUUCCCUAUCUGUGAGUUCCAAAAUGUGCCACAAUGCUUGCAACUGCUUCAUCACUCCAGUUGGUCCUUCCAUCUGAAAAUUUUCACGCAUUCUCCUCAGAACCAUCUCAAAACACCAAAAUGCAUCAGCAUUAUCCUCAAAGAGAACAACAAAAGGAGACAGCAAAUCACUCCUUCCUUGACAGUAACCAGUGGCAGGAUCAACCCAUGCAUAGACAGCAAGGAUAUCAGACAUCCUAGCUAAAUUUUUCUUAUCCUCAUAGAAUUCAAGAUGACUAUCUGUUCGUACCACAUCAACAACGAUUCGAUGCAGAGUCCAAAGCCAUUCAGAUACCCUGUCAUCGCUGGUAGCCCCUCCUUGAGAAGCUGCAUUUAACAAUGGUGUUUCUGGCGCAUCUGAUAUUCUCAAUCUGUUCACUAUUUCUUUUUCAUAAUCCUGAUUAUUAGACCCCACUACUGGCUUGUGAUCAUCAUCACGAACUAUUUCAAUUUCAGAGUUUAAAUCUAUAUUGUUAUCAAUUUGAAAACUGUGCAUUCUGUUAUCUUGUAAUCUUGUAUUUUGUUGUCUAGAACGUUCAAAAUCAUGCACACUACAUUCUUCCGCAUUUUUUCCUCCCCGAUCAAAUAAAUCCCUGACAGGUAAAGGAGAAAAAACAAAAUAACUCUCUGCUACAUAUUGUGAUUCAUGAGCCUCACCCUCUCUUUCAGGAGAACCACUAUUGUAUGGGCCAGAAGCAGGUAAAAAACAAGAUGAAUCAUAGGCUGCGCUGUUUGUGCUUCCCCUCACACUAUCAAGCUCACCAGAAUCACUAGAACUUUCCCUUUCACAUGCAUAUGAUUUUUCUGUACAAUUAUUAUUCCAAUCACUAUAAUUCUCUAAUUUGUUAGCAGUAUCAAUAGAAGCUUGUCUACUUUUGACUUUAGCUUCCCCUCUCCUUUCAUCCUUCGAUGACAUUCUUAUAUCCAUAACUUUGGACCCUACAACAUAUGCUAAUAUACCAGUUCCUACACUUGAAUGCAUCAUUUGACAUUGCUUGGUCAGGUCCUUGUAGAGCUCCCUUCGGGCUGUCCUCAGCUGCCUUCAGUACUCAGCAGUGCUGCCUAGUGCACAACAGCCAAGCAGAAAUUCCCAAACUUCUGCCCUUAUUGCUGGAUCCACACCCUAUCACAUAUAGCAAAUAAGGUCAUUACUCAUUAUAAUUAUAUAGAAGUCAAAGGAACUAUUUGCAUCAACUUUUAGGGUAGCAGGAAGAGGAGGUCAUUGAGGCAUUAAAUCAAAAAAUUUAAAUGCAUAAUGGAGCAUAAAACUUACCCUAAUAACAAGAGCAGGUGAAUGAACAAACAUUCAAAAGGAUAAUGCAACAUAAAGCUACAACAUUUAAAUAAAACUUGCAAGUUGCAACUGCAGACAAAGUUAAAGUGUUAAACAACUUGAAAAGCAAGAAAAAUCCUAUAAUCCUAAAGCACAUAUAACAGGUAUGCCAUGUUGAGGUUGAGCAUCAUUCUAAAGGUGAAUAAAACAUAUGCAAAUUUCAACAAGUAGCAGCUCAAACAUGUUUGGCCUCCAACAACAACUUCUUAAUAAGUAGUCUAAUAAAAAAGGUUCCUAAAUCCUAACCCUUCAACAAAAUGAGUGACAAUAUAAAUACAAAUAAACCAAGAGGAGAAAUUAAUUGUAAAAGAUUGCUUUUAGAGGACAAUAUCAAACUAUUCAGAGCCAUGACAAAGAUUAUCAGCAUUUUAGUAUAUUGAGAAAAAAAGUCAAAAACAUGUGGUUUAGUGCUACUUCAUUUUGGGGACUCUGGUUCUUUUUGUAUCAAUUUACUAACAGAGAUUUUUAAAUGUUAUCAUUUCUAAUAUAAUUUUUAGCUAACAUCAAUAAAAUGAUACUUAGUGCUUUUAUGACAUAAAAUAACAAACGAGUUUGAGUAUUGUCCGUGUGGCACCUAUGUGGACAACCAAGUGGCAUCACAUCAACACCACAUAAUAAUUCUUUUUAUUCUAAAAAAAAUAAAAUAUAUAAAACACAAGUUUACUACAUAUAUA
rnacentral:misc_RNA from 1 species